GUUUUAAUAAUUUAAAUUAAAAUAUUGGUCUUGUAAACCAAAAAUGAUAAUUUCUUAAAACU
rnacentral:tRNA from 1 species